AUAAGACCUUGAGAAAAAAAUAUAUAUAGUUAUGGAUUAAUACUUAAGAUAGAGUUAGCCAAUAGAAGCCCUGGGCCUUGGCCAACAGUAUUGUAACUAAUAGAGACUCUGUAUGUUAUUUUGGGGGCUGAAGUGGCAACAGGACUCAGGCAGGAAUCCUGCAACACUUUAUAAAAUGUGUGUAUUUUUGAUGAACUUUUUUUUAUUUUUUAGGAUUUCAUGUUUUCCAGGUUAGCCUGGAACUUACUACACAGCUGAAGAUAUCCUUAAAUUCCUGGUUCUCCUGGCUCUAUUUCCUGAGUGCUGUGACUUCAGGCAUGCACCAACACCUAGUUUAUGUGGUCCCAGGGUGAAACUCAGGGCUCUGCGUGUGCUAGGUCCAUAAAUCUUGUGAUGUGAGCUCAUGGACUUUAAGCAGCCUCAAGAACUUUGAAGAAUGAAAUAUUUAGCAAGGAGACAAGUGACUGCUGUUAUGGAAACGGAUAUUACCCACCCAGCAGUGGUGUGUUCUAAGUGCUUGACAUUCCAAUCUUAAAACCCAAGAAGUGGGUCUGUGAGGUGGCUCCACAGGUGGAGACGCAUUGCAGGCCUGGAGACCCAGGCUGGAUGGAUUCUCGUGACCCAGCUGUUUUACAGACACCUGGGAAUGAGUGCUGUUACUGUAUCAGUGAGUCUGGCCUGGCGGAAACUAAUAUCAAGUCGCUCUGCAAAUUGUCUGAAGACUUCACCAAUAUGACCAGGGCAUCUCUCGGUUCCAUCUUCCUGGCAAUCUUCACUGUUCCCAAGGCUAGCCCCACUCAUAGAGCUUGUGGUAAUCUAUUUUUUUCUCUUAGCACCUUGCCUUCUCUGCUUUCUCCAGGAACAGAUUCCUGAGGUCUUUAGCAUGGUUGACUGAAUGCUUCUUCACCCAUACCUCCCUCUGAGCAUGAGCCCACAGACCCCUGACUUCCUCUUCCCUAGGGUCCUGUGCCAACAGGAAAUAGCCAGAUUUGAAACAGCAUACCCAAAAAGAUGAGGAUGUUCUGUUGGAACCUCCAGCCCCCCCCCCCCCCCCCCCCC